CCGCUGUGAUGAUGGAUUCCAAAACCAUUCGUAGUUUCCACCAGAAGUUUCAUGUUGGCCAGUUCCUUCCUUGGAUGUCUGAGCGA
ensembl:snoRNA SNORD14 Small nucleolar RNA SNORD14